GACGAACGCUGGCGGCGUGCCUAAUACAUGCAAGUAGGACGCAGUUGCGAACGGGUGAGUAACGCGUAGGUAACUACCUAUUAGAGGGGGAUAACUAUUGGAAACGAUAGCUAAUACCGCAUACUAGUAGAUGGACCUGCUUUUUUUUAGCUAGUAGGUAGGGUGAUGGCCUACCUAGGCAACGAUACAUAGCCGAACUGAGAGGGUGAUCGGCCCACCUUGGACUGAGACACGGCCCAGACUCCUACGGGAGGCAGCAGGAGGGAAUCUUCGGAAAUGGGGGGAACCCUGACCGAGCAAAGCCGCGUGAGUGAAGAAGGUUUUCGGAUCGUAAAGCUCUGUUGUUAAGGAAGCGGUACUUAACCAGAAAGGGACGGCUAACUACGUGCCAGCAGCCGCGGUAAUUC
rnacentral:rRNA from 1 species